rnacentral:rRNA from 1 species
CUGUUGUUAGAGAAGAUGUGGAUUAGAGUGCUUCUUAUUCUAGUGACGGUAUCUAACCAGAAAGGAACGGCUAACUACGUGCCAGCAGCCGCGGUAAUACGUAGGUCCCGAGCGUUGUCCGGAUUUAUUGGGCGUAAAGCGAGCGCAGGUGGUUUAAUAAGUCUGAUGUAAAAGGCAGUGGCUCAACCAUUGUGUGCAUUGGAAACUGUUAAACUUGAGUGCAGAAGAGGAGAGUGGAAUUCCAUGUGUAGCGGUGAAAUGCGUAGAUAUAUGGAGGAACACCGGUGGCGAAAGCGGCUCUCUGGACUGUCACUGACACUGAGGCUCGAAAGCGUGGGUAGCAAACAGGAUUAGAUACCCUGGUAGUCCACGCCGUAAACGAUGAGUGCUAGUUGUUUGGGGCUAUCCAGCCCUAAGUGACGCAGCAAACGCAUUAAGCACUCCGCCUGGGGAGUACGACCGCAAGGUUGAAACUCAAAGGAAUUGACGGGGGCCCGCACAAGCGGUGGAGCAUGUGGUUUAAUUCGAAGCAACGCGAAGAACCUUACCAGGUCUUGACAUACUCGUGCUAUUCCUAGAGAUAGGAAGUUCCUUCGGGACACGGGAUACAGGUGGUGCAUGGUUGUCGUCAGCUCGUGUCG